GCUAGUAAUCGCGAAUCNGAAUGUCGCGGUGAAUACGUUCCCGGGUCUUGUACACACCGCCCGUCACACCAUGGGAGUCGGAAAUGCCCGAAGUCUGUGACCCAACCUUAGGGAGGGAGCAGCCGAAGGCAGGUCGGAUGACUGGGGUGAAGUCGUAACAAGGUAUC
rnacentral:rRNA from 1 species